UGAUUCAGCAUAAAUCAAACAAUCGCUAC
rnacentral:sRNA from 1 species